GUCCCCAAAGCCGCCAGGAGCAGUGGGGAUGGAAUUGAGGACCCGGAGAGUUGGUGGCCAGGGAGACCUCUUGUGGAUCCAGGAAAUCUUUUGUUACCAAUCAGCAGUCUGCCGAUGGCCGGAUGGGUCCUCUAGGGAAAGAAGGCGUAAUCUCAGCACUGUGGGAGGCUGAGGCAGGAGGAUCACAAAUUCUAACCAGCCUGGGACCGUUUCCUUACCGUGGCACUGUGGCUGCUGUCAACAGGCCUUGGGGCAGGAUGCAGCUCGUGGUGGAAGAUGCCCUGGGUUCCAUCCCCAGCACUUGGAAAGAAACAAACUGGAAAAUCUGUGAUUCCAGAACCCGCGACUUCUGGCUCUUUCUCAAAGGCAAAACGACCAUGAGAAGAAAAAAGUUUGAACGGAUGCUGGACAUAGAGGCAGCCAUGAUAGCACAACUAGAGACACAAAAGAGGACCCCCAGUGGCAAAGAUGACGGGAUGAGUGUGUUCAAAGUGAGGGGCAGUAAUUGGGGAGGGAUGAAUGGCAACGUGUCUUUAUAUUUUAUUUUUUAUUUUUUGGUUUUUUUGAGGCAGGGUCUCACCAUGUAGUUGAGACUGACCCGGAACUCAGUAUGUAGCCCAGGCUGGUCUUGAACUCACAGCGAUCCUCCUGCCUCAGCCUCUCGAAUGCUGGGAUUACAGACGUGUGCCACCUUGCCCAGCUGGCAAUGUGUCUUUUACUGUAAUAAUUUUAAAAAAUAAUCUAAACAUUGACCGUAAUUUUGGAUCACGCUGCAUGGAUUUGGAUGCUGGAUGGGACCACGUUGGAACCAAAGGUCCCGAGGUCCAUGCCGUGGGAGCCGCAGCUCUGGGUCAGCCAGCCAGGCAGCCCUGAGCCCCAAGCUGUCCCCUGCCUGGUGCCUAAGCGUGGACUUGGAGACAACCAGUCUGGGCUCGAACCCCACAGCUCCCACACGCUGGCUGUCUGAUCUUUGGUGAUGUACUUGACCCCUCUUGGCUUCAGUACCUAAAUCUGUGACGCAGAGACGAUAAUGUCUUCCUCACAGGGUUGUCGGGAGCACAGCGUGGAUUCUGUGGCUCACAUUCUCCCCUCCCACACCCUUGCUGGGCUGCGGGACGCAUCUCAGGGAAUGAAGUUCUGCCGUCCCACGAGUCACGGGCUUCUGGAGGCUGCCAUGUUGGGAAGGAGCCAAGGAUGAUCCCAAGUCCCAGAGCCCGUGUUCAUUCAUUCGUUCUUUUUCUUUACCUGUGCUGGGGCUGGAACCCAGGGCUCCGUGCAGACUGAGACAAGUGCUGUACUACUGAGCCCACACCCGCCUUCAUUUAUUAUGGACUAAUUUUCUGUCUUCCCUGCUCCUAAACGGAACGUCCAUCCCAGGGCAGCUGGGACCCAUAUCUUGUUCCUUAGUCCUAGCCAGGCAGCGCUGGGUACCCAGGAACAAGGCAGAGGCGGAGGGAGUGGAAAAGCUCUGUGACAACUCAAGGAAUCUGUCAGUCCUGGCUCAAAUUCAUCUUGUCACUUUCUCACUGUGUGACUUGGGCCAGGUUACUUGACUUCUCUGGGCCUCUGUUGUGCACCAGAUGUGUUGUUGUACCGAUAAAAUGGGAUAAGGGCAUAAAAGUGCUCAUACAUUCCUGGGCUCGACACGCCGCAGUGGGGCCCGGCUUGUGACUCUCUGCUGUCCUCCUCCUCCUCCCUCCCCGCUCCCUGGACCCUUUGCUGUGAGCUGGGUACCUUCUGUCCAAAAGAAAUGCAGGCGUGUGCGUGACCAGUGGGGUCAUCUGAGGACCAGCCCUUCCAGUCGGUGAACACGGUUUCCCCGCAGCUGUGUGGCCUCCUCCCGGAAGCGGGUAUCAGGCCUCAUUCUGGCCAGGAAAGGCCUCUGCCAGCCACCCGGGCCACUUCUCCUGGGCCCAUGAAAGAGACGCGGGUGCCAUCAUCCAGCUGACCAAGGCCUGCGGCUUUCACGGACCUCUGGCCUUGCCCAGAAGCAGGACUCUCAGAGCCCCGCUGGAAAAUACGGGGUGUCCGGAACCCUGCGAACUUUAGAUAAACGACAGGCGUGAAUGUGAAGCUCACGUAUGUGGCGGGCUCCGCACACGCGCUGAACAACUGCUCGCAUUUGAUCUGAAAUGCAGCGCGAACUGGCCCGUCUCUUCUCUUUAGGGUCCAGCGGCUUUGCCCUGGGCCUCCCUCUGCUGGGAGCUCCCGGGUCUCAGCUCCAUCUUGGCAGUGGCAGAAACAACCCAGGCCAGGACAGUGAGUCCCGAUGGGAGUGGGUCUCUGUCCUCGGGGCCUCAGUUUCCCCAUCCACGUCCCUCAGCGGUCGGACUUGGUGCUGCCUCCUUGGGAAUGAACCGUGUGAGGUGCGUGGGCAUGCGUUUUGGCAGUGGGUGUUGUGCAAACCCUGGGCCCAGGUUCCCUGUUAAUGGCUAAUAGACCAGCUGCAGGAGGCUAUUUCUGGCUACUGGUUCCUUUUUCCUAAAAGUAGUUUGUUUUUUUAAACAAGCAAUUUGUGAGCAUCCUAGAAGCAUUAAAAAGUAGGGCGGAAACCCUGAUUCCAUCUCCCAGAGACAACCAUUUAUAACAUUCUUUAUUCUUUAUUCUUUUUUUUUUGGUACCAGGGAUCGAACUUGGGACCUUGCGCUUGUGAGGCAGGCGCUGGAACCACUGAGCUAAAUCCCCGGCCCUUGGCAUACUUUAUUCCUGAAGAAAAGGGCGAAGCUUUCUAUCCAG
rnacentral:lncRNA from 1 species